AGACCAGUGGCGCAGUGGUUAGCGUUGUCCACUUAUGUGUCUCCUGCCAUAAGUUUACUUUCGUGGCACGAUACUCAUGCCAUGGACGGGUCCCGGGUUCGAAUCCCGGUUGGUCUA